ACCAGACUCCUACGGGAGGCAGCAGUGGGGGAUAUUGCACAAUGGGGGGAACCCUGAUGCAGCGACGCCGCGUGUGGGAAGACGGUCCUCUGGAUUGUAAACCACUAUCCCCAGGGACGAAGAUGACGGUACCUGGGGAGGAAGCUCCGGCUAACUACGUGCCAGCAGCCGCGGUAAUACGUAGGGAGCGAGCGUUAUCCGGAUUCACUGGGUGUAAAGGGAGCGUAGACGGCGACGCAAGUCUGGAGUGAAAGCCCGGGGCCCAACCCCGGGACUGCUCUGGAAACUGCGGCGCUGGAGUACGGGAGGGGCAGGCGGAAUUCCUGGUGUAGCGGUGAAAUGCGUAGAUAUCAGGAGGAACACCGGCGGCGAAGGCGGCCUGCUGGACCGUGACUGACGUUGAGGCUCGAGAGCGUGGGGAGCAAACAGGAUUAGAUACCCGCGUA
rnacentral:rRNA from 1 species